ACGCUCGACACCUACGGGAGCAGCAGUGGGGAAUAUUGCACAAUGGGGGAAACCCUGAUGCAGCGACGCCGCGUGAGUGAAGAAGUAUUUCGGUAUGUAAAGCUCUAUCAGCAGGGAAGAAGAUGACGGUACCUGAGUAAGAAGCCCCGGCUAACUACGUGCCAGCACGCCGGACGGUAAUCUGAGGCGGGCGUGGACGAAGGC
rnacentral:rRNA from 1 species